AGCUGAUCGAGGUGGUGGCCUUUCAUUCCCCACACCAUAAAGCCCUUCAUCCCUCAGGUCCUGUUUCUUGGGAUUUCUUCAUCUCAAGGAGAGCAGCUGAAGACAUUUGCUCAAAUCUGCCUUGCUUAAUCCCUGUUUGGCACAACUGAGAUAUCCAGUGACAUUUCCACCUCCCUGCAGAACUGGAAUGCUAAAGAUCUGGAUGGCUGGACUCAUACAGGAGGUGAUAUAUAAAUAAAUCUGAGAACUGGAGAUGAUGAUGCCAGACAGAAUAUUAAUAAAAUCUCCUUACUCCUGCUUCUACCAUAUCUCUGGAGGUAAAGAAGAGAAUUUAGCUGCGUACCAGUUGCACACAAACUACUCCCUACUGCCAAAUGUUACAGACAAGAAGUUGCCAGGAAAGCAGUGCAUCUCAAGAAUGGCGGUAUAUCUAUGGGUUACUUGGCAGCACACAGUGAUGGCAAGCUCCACAGAGCAUCAUUUCCCUGAUUGGAAUGAAGUCAUCCCACAAUUUUUCUCCCCUUGAUUUCCAAAAUAAUUUUUACAAAAGAAAUUUUUUAUGUCUCUGCAGCUGCCACUCUCUACAAUCUAAAGGAUACUGCUACUAUCCCACUUGUGUCUAUAGUCCAGUUCAUACCACAAAUUGAACGAAAACCUACUGACUUCCAUGUUGUAAGGGGUUUCAUUCGUAUCAAAGAGGUGCUAUAGUUCCUUUGACCUUAUGAUCCUUUUAUCCAAAGUAACAAAAAUGAAUAAAAGUACAGAAAUGAUGAUUGAUCA
rnacentral:lncRNA from 1 species